UACGGAGGAUGCAAGCGUUAUCCGGAAUGAUUGGGCGUAAAGCGUCCGCAGGUGGCUGUGUAAGUCUGCUGUUAAAGAGUGGGGCUCAACCUCAUAAGAGCAGUGGAAACUACAUGGCUAGAGUGCGUUCGGGGCAGAGGGAAUUCCUGGUGUAGCGGUGAAAUGCGUAGAGAUCAGGAAGAACACCGGUGGCGAAAGCGCUCUGCUAGGCCGCAACUGACACUGAGGGACGAAAGCUAGGGGAGCGAAUGGG
rnacentral:rRNA from 1 species